AACGAACGCUGGCGGCAUGCCUAACACAUGCAAGUCGAACGAGACCUUCGGGUCUAGUGGCGCACGGGUGCGUAACGCGUGGGAAUCUGCCCUUGGGUUCGGAAUAACAGUUGGAAACGACUGCUAAUACCGGAUGAUGACGUACGUCCAAAGAUUUAUCGCUCAAGGAUGAGCCCGCGUAGGAUUAGCUAGUUGGUGAGGUAAAGGCUCACCAAGGCGACGAUCCUUAGCUGGUCUGAGAGGAUGAUCAGCCACACUGGGACUGAGACACGGCCCAGACUCCUACGGGAGGCAGCAGUGGGGAAUAUUAGACAAUGGGCGAAAGCCUGAUCCAGCAAUGCCGCGUGAGUGAUGAAGGCCUUAGGGUUGUAAAGCUCUUUUACCCGGGAUGAUAAUGACAGUACCGGGAGAAUAAGCUCCGGCUAACUCCGUG
rnacentral:rRNA from 1 species